rnacentral:misc_RNA from 1 species
ACAAACUUGGUCAUUUAGAGGAAGUAAAAGUCGUAACAAGGUUUCCGUAGGUGAACCUGCGGAAGGAUCAUUACCAAAGCGGUAUGGCGGACCUGCGUCCGUCCAUCCCCUCACCCUUUGUGUACCUCGCCACCGUUGCUUCGGCGGGCCUGGCCCUCGCCGGCCAGCCGGCCCCUUUAGGGGUUGGCCAGCGCCCGCCGGAGGACCAACCAGACUCUGUUGAUAUGAUGCUGUCUGAGCUUUACAAGCAAAUCAAAUAAAACUUUCAACAACGGAUCUCUUGGUUCUGGCAUCGAUGAAGAACGCAGC